rnacentral:tRNA from 1 species
GCCGUGAUGCCGGAGCGGUUAACGGGUCAGACUUGAAAUCUGAUGGGCUUUGCCCGCGUAGGUUCAAAUCCUACUCACGGCG